UUAUUUAUUAUUUUUUUUUUUGUUUUAAAUAUUUUAAAUGCUGCCAAGCUGGAGGUGUGACCUUCCUGUUUGUAUCCACAGUUUUAACUCCAUGUCCUUGUUUUUUAUUUUUUAAGCAGUUAUGAGGCGAAACCUGAAACUGCUGCUGUG